rnacentral:lncRNA from 1 species
GCCGCGCCCCCGCGGAGCACCACUUCGGAGGCCUGAGAGCGGCGACCGGGCAGGGCGUGGCCUACAUCCCGGAGCCUCGCGCCUUCUCCUGCGCCGACUUCUGCAGGGCCUCCGGCUGCUCGAGCCGCCCUGCGCUGCUCCCGCGCCUGCACCCGAGGCUGGGGCAGCGGCGGCGCUGGGUGACGCCGGAGGGGGCGCCCGACUUGAACCAACUGCGGCGGACCCGGGAGCCGGGGUCCAGGAAUACAGCCCGAACCCCAAGAAUACAACCCGAACCCCAAGAGUACGUGCCCCUCAGAGACUGCAGCGGCUGCUGAGAGGAGCACAUCCAGGGCGGCUACUGCCCCAAGGGGUCGCCACCUCUGGGACUGGCAUCCGUUCAGGGGCCCUCGGCAAGGGACAUGUCCGCCCGGCCGUGCGCCUCCCGGCCCAGGGCGCGCUGGACGUGGACGCCCCUCGCCUGGUCUGCGCUGGCCCUGCGGGCAGCUGGACCUGGUUCCGCGCCCACGCCUUCCGCUCCUCCAGCUGGUCCCGCAGCUGGUCCCGCAGCGCCGGCGGACAAGAGAAGUGGCUCCUCGUCCCCAGGUGCGCGAGGAGGCCCUGGGGACUCCCGCGGCUGCCUGCCCGACGGCCGGACCUCCCGGGCACUCCCGACGCGCCUGCACCCGCGACUCCAGCUCGCGGCCUGCCCUGGAGCUCACGCGCAAGGUGGGCGAGAUGGUGCUGAUGCCAGUGUGGGGCACCACCGGGUUCACAACCUGCUAAGGCCGAGGUACGUCCCGGCCACCCAGGCCUGGAGCUAGAGUGUGCGCCCGCCUUCGACCAUGGGCCCUUCCGCAGGAAGAGGGCAGCGCCCCUCCAGACUGUCCCUCCACUAGGAGGCGUCGCCGGGGCCCCGGCCUUUGUUUCACCCUCGCGCGCUCCUUCUCCGGCAUACUCGCUCUGGGUCCGCCGCUGCCGCUCAUCAUGAGGUCCUGCUCGGGCAUCAGCUUGGAAGAGCUUUACCACUUCCCCAGGGUUCUCACUGAGAGGCAGCUCCUAGUCCUGGGGGAGGCGGCGGGGGAGGAUGAGGCCUGGCCGGGCCCGAGCAGAUGGCCUUCGUCGUCGGGGCACGGCGGAGGUAGGUGUUGGCCUCCAUGCUCUCGCAGUGCGACUUCCA